rnacentral:rRNA from 1 species
CCUACGGGUGGCUGCAGUGGGGAAUAUUGGACAAUGGGCGAAAGCCUGAUCCAGCCAUGCCGCGUGUGUGAAGAAGGCCUUCGGGUUGUAAAGCACUUUCAGUGGGGAAGAAAGCCUUGGGGCUAAUACCCUCGAGGAAGGACAUCACCCACAGAAGAAGCACCGGCUAACUCCGUGCCAGCAGCCGCGGUAAUACGGAGGGUGCGAGCGUUAAUCGGAAUUACUGGGCGUAAAGCGCGCGUAGGCGGUCUGAUAAGCCGGUUGUGAAAGCCCCGGGCUCAACCUGGGAACGGCAUCCGGAACUGUCAGGCUAGAGUGCAGGAGAGGAAGGUAGAAUUCCCGGUGUAGCGGUGAAAUGCGUAGAGCUCGGGAGGAAUACCAGUGGCGAAGGCGGCCUUCUGGACUGACACUGACGCUGAGGUGCGAAAGCGUGGGUAGCAAACAGGAUUAGAUACCCCGGUAGUC